UACAGAGGUCUCAAGCGUUGUUCGGAUUCAUUGGGCGUAAAGGGUGCGUAGGCGGCGCGGUAAGUCGGGUGUGAAAUCUUGGAGCUUAACUCCGAAACUGCAUUCGAUACUGCCGUGCUUGAGGACUGGAGAGGAGACUGGAAUUUACGGUGUAGCGGUGAAAUGCGUAGAUAUCGUAAGGAAGACCACGGGCGAAGGCGGGUCUCUGGACAGUUCCUGACGCUGAGGCACGAAGGUCAGGGGAGCAAACGGG
rnacentral:rRNA from 1 species